rnacentral:lncRNA from 1 species
UGUGUGUGUGUGUGUGUGUGUGUGUGUGUGUGUGUCUAGGAGAAAGAGGGCAGAGAGGGAACAGAAAUAUAACAUGAUAACAUUAACUUUUACAAGUAUUUUUAUAUAAUAUUGAGGAAUAAGAUCUAUACAUCUAUGUGUGCACAAUGGUGUGCAAUUACCUGUUUCUAUCUCUCUCUAUCCAUCUAUCUAGAGGAACUCUGUAGUAAUCCUCAUAAACUGUGGUUCCUUAGACUUGGAUGAGAGAGCUGGUGAAAAAGAAAAGUGGAUGAAUUUGGAAGAUAUUUAAGAGAUACAAUCAAUAAAAUUUAAUGAUACCUUGAUUACAGGGAUAGAAUGAGAGGAGGUUAGUGAAGAGGGUUGUGAGUUUUCUGGACUGAUAAUUUGUGUGAUGAUGUCAUUCAUUGAAAAAGCAGCAGCAGAAAGGCACCAGGUUUAAAGAUUUGGAUCAUGAUAAGAAGUUCUGCUUUGGAAAUAAUAAUUGAAGGUAGUUUUGACACAUCCAAAAAUAGAUAGUAAUCAGAAAAUUGAAUUUUUAAGAUUUGAAUUUUAGAGAGAGAUUCCUGCUGGGGAUAAACAUUUUAAGCAGAUGAAAUUACAUAGGAGGAAUACUGAGAAACAUUGAUGAGCUACGUCUUCGUAAAAAUUUCAAGUAGAAGAAGGUCAGUUUGCAUGAGAAGUAGAAAGAAAAGUAAGAGGAAGAUAGAAAAGAAGAAGUAGUAGUAGUUGGAAAAGUUAGAGGAAAGCAAGGGAACACUUGUCAAGGAGCCAACUGAGGAAUGUGCUUCAAAUAAGAAGCAAGCAGGCAAGAAUCAAAUGAUGCAUUUCAAUCCAAUAAAAUGAAAACUGAAAAGUUUCCAUGCAAUAUACUCAUUUCUGACCUAAAAUAUUAUAAAGAAAAAUAUGAUUUGGUUUAAAAUUAGGAGGUUAAGUGGUAGCUUUUAGGUAAAAGUAUUCUGGGAAGGGUUUGUUUGCUUUUGCUUUUACAUUUCAUUUAAUUUUUAUGGGAAAGUCACCAAUGACCCCCCCCCACCACCACUACCACAAAACAAAUUUUAAAAAACUACAUCAAUCAACCAACAAACAACAACAAAAAUAAAUAAAUUGUGUGUUUACAUAAUUAUGCAUCCAUAUCCCUAGGAUUUUGUCCUUCUUUCCUCUCUAACUUCUUCUGAUGUAAAAGCAAACACUCUUUAAACUCUUGCUAGAGCUAAAAAUAAUAUACACACAUAAAAAAUGCAGAGUAGUGUCUUAAGGGAAUGUGAUACUUCUCUUAAAGCAGUUAUAGUAGCAUGCCAACAGGAGCUGCUGAAAAUUAUGUUGUUGCUGAUCUACUGGACAGCAGUGUAUUAGAUGUCAAUCAUGUAAGUGGCAAAAAACAAUAGCCUAAUAAAACACAACAAGCACAUGUGACGUAUUAAGCUGAAAAGUGAUAUGUUAAACUUAAAAAUGUGUUGAGGGUGGGAGUGCUAUAGGGAACAACUUUCUGUUGGUAAUGUCUAUAGUUUACAUUAUGUCUGAAACAGAUUGCCCCCAAAUUAAUGUUUGAAGUGAAUAAUGGGUUGAGAUUCAAAUAAAAGUGAAAUCUUUGUUUUUGACUACAGAGAAGCUACCCCAAUUCACUUAAUAUUAAUGACGUAAGUGCUGAUUAUGACCACUGGAAAUGUUCAGUGGAAUAAUUUUUAUCUUCUUGAGUGAUUUAGAUUCACAUUGAAAUACUAGAACAGGGAAAUGGGGUGCCAGCCUUUUCCCCAGGAGAAACCAUGAUCAAACUCAACACUUCACAGAAAGCAGUAAGUACACUGAAAACAAAUUGACACACAGAGAUCUUCCUAUUAGAACUAAUAUGUUUGAAUGCUCAAAAAUUUUGUAGUAGAACAUAUGGAGCAAUUCAAUGACGUUAGUAAAAAAAAAAAACCACAAAACUGUAUUUUUACAUCUAUGAUAAUAGCACUGUGUAUUAUGAAAUAUAACCUAGAUUUUUUUCAAAUGCUAUCUAAAAAAUAAAGAGCUACAUUUGAAUACUAAAAGACUUUUUUUUUUUCAUAUUACAGCCCCAGAAUCUCCAUUAGUGACUAAAGUAUAAUAGGUGACAAGUGGCUGUUGAAUAAAUUUCACAUAAUCAUUUGUCAACGCGUAGAAAAUAAAACAAGAGACUUCAGUAUUUCGUUCCAUGUUGAGCUUAACCUGCCUGAUGGCCAAGUAGAUGAGUCUAUGGUCAGAAACACUGACUAAUAACAUGCUUAGAAACUGAAGAGCUUAUUUUCCACUUAUAAAAAAGAGUGUACAGACAAUGUUUUCAGGUUAAUUCUUAAUUUUGAACUCAAAUCUCUUAAAAUGCUUCAGCUGUAUUAAUUUGCUUUAGCUGAUACUUGAAGAGUUUGAGCAGUCAGUUUAUCAUAUGAUCUGGUGUGAUUGCCUUUAUUUUUAUUGUUUCAAUUUUAUGUGUAGGGUAGAAGAGAACUUUAUUAUAUAAUUCUAUUAUAGUAUUAAAAUGAAUGAUUAAGAAUUGUUAAAGAAAUGCCUUAUUUAAGGUAAUCACAUGGUUCCCCGGUUCAGCAAUCCUUUCAGGAAGCUGUAUAAGAGCAUUUAUAACACUGUUGUAUUUAUGUCAUCUUUGGACAUUUUCUUGCAUCAUGAUAAUAAAUGAUAGUUUCAGAUUCUUUAUUCUCACAACCUAAGAAGUGUUAAAAAACCUGUCAUGUAAAACACUAAUUCUGAUUACACUAGGAGCACCUAAAGUUAUUGGUAUGUUAAUUGAAUGUGGUUUGGGGAAAAGUGUCAUCUGCCUUACAGCAUUCAUUUGCAUAUUAAUAACAAAACUUUGUUCAGCAGAGACAUUUUCUGAUUAAGGCGCUAACAUAAGAGCUUGCUUAGAGAUUAUAUGAUCUCAAAUUGUGAACUGAAAUAGUCAUAAUUUCUAGAGAAAAAGUCUUUUCAGACAAAUUAUUUUCAUAAAGGAGCAAAGAAACAGAUUGGAACUACUGAUACCACAUCCACAUGCUCCAGAGAGCAAAGAAAGCACAGCUCUAAUGCAAGUUCCUGAGAAUUUCUUUUUCUUUUGAAGAAAGAAAAAUCAUCUCCUAAUGAUAUUAUACAGUUUUAAGGUGGCCAGGUGAGGACUCUCAUUAUUCUUUCUGAGGAGGGAAAAAUGGAACAGUCACCCACACUGGCUGGCAGUGACUCAGAGACUUUGAGUUAGUGAUAUCAAAUACUCAGACAUAUUUAAAUUGCUUCAUGUGUCUGGAAACCCUACCAGUCCAUAUGUAUGGGGCCUACUGAGAGUCUCUCUAGAUUCUAUUUCAGAGAGCUCCAUUUCUAAUUUCCUUAGUCCUAAUUUCCUUGCUUAAUUUAGAUUUGUAAAUACAUGUGUUAAGAUAUGUAGACUGUACUGAUAACUUCUGUAAAACUUUUCUGAAAGCUAUGUUGUCUAAAAGAUUUCCUUUUUUAAGAACUCUGAUUAUUUGAUCUAGAUGCUUCAGUCUCUGCUCCACAACUAUGCGGUUUCCUUGGUUGAACACAUUCAUCCUAUCUCAUAAAGACUGUAAUUUU